CCCUUAGAUGUUCUGGGCCGCACGCGCGCUACACUGAUGCAUUCAACAAGCCUAGCCUUGACCGAGAGGUCCGGGUAAUCUUUGAAACUGCAUCGUGAUGGGGCUAGAUUAUUGCAAUUAUUAAUCUUCAACGAGGAAUGCCUAGUAAGCGUGAUUCAUCAAAUCGCGUUGAUUACGUCCCUGCCCUUUGUACACACCGCCCGUCGCACCUACCGAUUGAAUGUGUUGGUGAGGAGCUCGGAUUGGCAGCAGUUGGUGGUUCGCCACCGGCUAUUGCUGAGAAGUCCUCCAAACCGCCCCAUUUAGAGGAAGGAGAAGUCGUAACA
rnacentral:rRNA from 1 species